CUGAGUUUGAUUCCCUGGCUCAGGAUGAACGCUAGCGGCAGGCUUAACACAUGCAAGUCGAGGGGUAUAGUUCUUCGGAACUAGAGACCGGCGCACGGGUGCGUAACGCGUAUGCAAUCUACCUUUUACAGAGGGAUAGCCCAGAGAAAUUUGGAUUAAUACCUCAUAGCAUAGCAGCUUCGCAUGAAGCCACUAUUAAAGUCACAACGGUAAAAGAUGAGCAUGCGUCCCAUUAGCUAGUUGGUAAGGUAACGGCUUACCAAGGCUACGAUGGGUAGGGGUCCUGAGAGGGAGAUCCCCCACACUGGUACUGAGACACGGACCAGACUCCUACGGGAGGCAGCAGUGAGGAAUAUUGGACAAUGGGCGCAAGCCUGAUCCAGCCAUGCCGCGUGCAGGAUGACGGUCCUAUGGAUUGUAAACUGCUUUUAUACGAGAAGAAACACUACUUCGUGAAGUA
rnacentral:rRNA from 1 species